rnacentral:lncRNA from 1 species
GUUUUUAAAUUUUCAUGGGAAGUGAGCAUAGUGCCCAGGUAUCCCCCAAAGAAGGUAAUAAAAGGAAGAGAGCCUCCAAGGUCUGGAAUUCAUGGUACAAAGCAUUAGAGACUGAAAGAGAUGCUUUAAUAAACUGCCACGGUCAUGCUACAUAGCAGAAAUCAGGAUGUGCUGCUGAAAGAACGAGGCAGUGAAGACAGUGACUCCUGUGCUCCCCUCGGAGCCGUGCUGCUCGUCGGGCAGGAGGUGGAGCUGUUGAUCAGCGCUGCACAUCGCUCCCAACAAAGGGAUGAGGAUGCUCCCACCACCGCCUCAGCCCUUCUUCACCGAACUUAAAAGAAACAGCCAUCUGGAACUUAUUCCAGGAUUUGAAUUCAGUCACUUUACUACCUAACAGUG